GAUGAACGCUGGCGGCGUGCUUAACACAUGCAAGUCGAACGAUGAAGCCCAGCUUGCUGGGUGGAUUAGUGGCGAACGGGUGAGUAACACGUGAGUAACCUGCCCUUGACUCUGGGAUAAGCCCGGGAAACUGGGUCUAAUACCGGAUAGGAGCGCCUGUCGCAUGACGGGUGUUGGAAAGAUUUUUCGGUCAUGGAUGGACUCGCGGCCUAUCAGCUUGUUGGUGAGGUAAUGGCUCACCAAGGCGACGACGGGUAGCCGGCCUGAGAGGGUGACCGGCCACACUGGGACUGAGACACGGCCCAGACUCCUACGGGAGGCAGCAGUGGGGAGUAUUGCACAAUGGGCGGAAGCCUGAUGCAGCGACGCCGCGUGAGGGAUGACGGCCUUCGGGUUGUAAACCUCUUUCAGUAGGGAAGAAGCGAAAGUGACGGUACCUGCAGAAGAAGCACCGGCUAACUACGUG
rnacentral:rRNA from 1 species